rnacentral:rRNA from 1 species
UAGUACCAUGAGGGAAAGGUGAAAAGAACCCCGGGAGGGGAAUGAAACAGAACCUGAAACCGUAUGUUUACAAGCAGUCGGAGCACCGUAUAUAUAUCAGGUGCGACGGCGUGCCUAUUGAAGAAUGAACCGGCGAGUUACUUCGUCCAGCGAGGUUAAGCAGGAAAUGCGGAGCCGCAGCGAAAGCGAGUCUGAAGAGGGCGAUGAGUUGGAGGGAGUAGACCCGAAACCACAGUGAUCUACCCAUGUCCAGGUUGAAGCACAGGUAAAAAUGUGUGGAGGACCGAACCUAUAUCCGUUGAAAAGGGUUAGGAUGAGGUGUGGGUAGGGGUGAAAUUCCAAUCGAACGUGGAGAUAGCUGGUUCUCCCCGAAAUAGCUUUAGGGCUAGCCUCAUGGAGAGAGUACAGGCGGUAGAGCACUGAACAGGGUAGGGGCCUAUCCGGCUACUGAACCUAAUCAAACUGCGAAUGGCUGUACUUAUACAUGGGAGUCAGACUGCGAGUAAUAAGACCCGUAGUCAAGAGGGAAACAGCCCAGACCAACAGCUAAGGUCCCCAAUGCCGUACUAAGUGGUGAAGGAUGUGGAAUUUCGAAAACAACCAGGAUGUUGGCUCAGAAGCAGCCACCAUUAAAAGAGUGCGUAAUAGCUCACUGGUCGAGAGACUCUGCGCCGAAGAUGACCGGGGCUGAAGUACGGAACCGAAGCUUUGGCAUGUAUGUAGAUACAUGGGUAGGGGAGCGUUCCUGCAUGGGAGAAGCGGUACCGGAAGGAGCCGUGGACAGGCAGGAAGAGAGAAUGCCGGUAUGAGUAGCGAAAAGAAAGGUGAGAAUCCUUUCCACCGAAAGCCUAAGGGUUCCUGGGCAACGCUCGUCGACCCAGGGUAAGUCGGGACCUAAUCCGAGGCGGAGACGCGUAGGAGAUGGACAACAGGUUGAGAUUCCUGUACUGCAGCCGUUUGUUUGAGCGACGGAGUGACGCAAGAAGGAAAGCGCGCGUGCGACUGGAAGAGCACGUCCAAGCAGGUAGGUCGGGAGACAGGCAAAUCCGUCUCCCAUAAGGCCGAGAUGUGAUGGGGAGCUUCUGGAGACAGAAGCGAAGGGGCCGGCACUAUAUUGCCAAGAAAAGCUUCUAGUGAGAACGGCAGCACCCGUACCGAAACCGACACAGGUAGGCAGGAAGAGAAUUCUAAGGUGCGCGGGACAACCCUCGUUAAGGAACUCGGCAAAAUAUAUCCGUAACUUCGGGAAAAGGAUAGCCUGUAGUCAGUGAAGUGCAGAAGCGCACGGAGCUAAGGCAGGCGGCAGAAGAGAGGCCCAAGCGACUGUUUACCACAAACACAGGCGUCUGCUAAAGGGAAACCUGACGUAUAGAUGCUGACACCUGCCCGGUGCUGGAAGGUUAAGAGGACUUGUUAGCGCAAGCGAAGCAGAGAAUUGAAGCCCCAGUAAACGGCGGCCGUAACUAUAACGGUCCUAAGGUAGCGAAAUUCCUUGUCGGGUAAGUUCCGACCCGCACGAAAGGUGUAACGAUUUGGGCACUGUCUCAACGAGGGACCCGGUGAAAUUGAAAUACCUGUGAAGAUGCAGGUUACCCGCGACUGGACAGAAAGACCCCAUGGAGCUUUACUGUAACCUGAGAUUGAAUUCUGGUAGGAGAUGUACAGGAUAGUUGGGAGGCGGAGAAGCGAGUACGCCAGUAUUCGCGGAGCCGAUGGUGGGAUACCAACCUUGUUUUAUUGGAAUUCUAACGAGAAGCGUAACGAGCUUGCGGACAGUCUCAGGCGGGCAGUUUGACUGGGGCGGUCGCCUCCGAAAGAGCAACGGAGGCGCCCAAAGGUUCCCUCAGUGCGGACGGAAACCGCACGAAGAGUGCAAAGGCAGAAGGGAGCUUGACUGCGAGACGGACAGGUCGAG